AGGGCUGUAUCCUCCAACAAUUCUGAAAUACUUGCAGGACCUGGAAGGCGUCAUGUUCUUUCAGGCCUACAUUCAUGUGUGUGUGUGUGUGUGUGUGUUGGGGUGGGUGGAGGGAAGUGUUGUUUUGGAAUGUCAGUCUUCUUUUCUUCCUCAUUUAUUUUUUCUCCUUACUCAUCCAUCAAACUUUUAUUCGCUAUUAAAAACAUUGCUAAUGUCAUCUUCUCUUUUAAGUCUUAAGUGAAUUCCCAACAUGACACAGAUGACUUUCCUUUUCUCUCCCACACCACCUUGUGUAAACCAUUUGUCACAUUUUAUUAAAGCUGACUGUGUGCUUUUCUGCUCUCACUAAACUGUGAGUUCCUUGUGAGAGAACCUUGAUUUAUUUUUCUUCUCUCCUCUCUCUAAAGUUCCUGCAGUAGUAUCUAGAACUCAAUAAAUUGAUAACAGAUGAUAGGAUAUCACACAAAUAUGAACAGAAUUAGUAUGUCAUUUCAGAAGAAAAGUACCAGAGACAUUCUUGGACAAGACAAUUUUCUUGCCCUCUUCUUAUGGUGAUAGUGGAGGGAAAAUAUUGUUCUUUGGAAAUCUGAAUGAUAUAUUGGGUGGCAUGAUUGAGAACUUUUUUGUGGCUUUGGGGGAGGAGCAAGAGAUGUGUAAUUUUUUCCUUCAGAGCUGUGGGAGAAACAGAUCUUAACUUCAGUAGAGGUGAGAGGCACUGUCCUGGGAGACUUGGUUGUUGUAGGCUAACUGUCUCAUACCUAAAGAGAAAAAGGGAUUAAAAUACAACAAUAGUAGACUCUUAAAUUUUUUGAUGUAAUAAAUGCAUGAAUAUGAAUAUACAAGCAUACGUCUGGUAAUUCCUAACUGGACAGAAACCCUGUUAUCAUCAGUACAUUUCUGCUUUCACACUGAUCUGUAUUGAUCGUAGAUUUCAAGAGGGUACCUGAUUUGACCCUAAGCAUCCUAUAUUAUUGCUAAAUUCUAUGAAAAUGACUUUUUGGUUCUAAGGAUCCUUAUAGUCAGGCUGAGUCCCCUAAACACCAUUCCACAUUUCAAGUCACCAAAGGAAAGAUAAUAUUGUAAAUGGUCACAACUGAAGAGUCAUAUGGAGAAAAAUAAGUUUGAUUCCCAUCUCACACUAUGACAAAAUAGAGGUAAGAUGAAUUAAAGAUUUUAAAGGAAAAUAACAAAUCGUGAAAGUAUUAUAAGAAAAUAUAAGAUACAUGAAAAAUAUAAACAUAUAGGGUAAGACUCAAGUAUGACACAUAAAUUAGAAGCCAUAAAAAGACUAAAAUAUGUAACAUAAUACAAAUAUUCUAAAUUCUGCAUUAAAAAACAAGAAACCACAAAGUCAAGAGAUAAAUCAAAAUCUGAGACAAAAUAGUUGUAGCUAAUUUUUUAAGUUUAUAGGUUUCAUUUUAAUAACAGCAAUGUAAUGAAAAAAUAAGCAAAGGAUAAAAACAGUUAAUAGAAAAAGAAGUNUCUUUUUGCCAUUUCUUGGGCCACUCCCACGGCAUAUGGAGAUUUCCAGGCUAGGGGUCCAGUCGGAGCUGUAGCCACUGGCCUACGCCAGAGCCACAGCAACAUGGGAUCCAAGCCGCAUCUGCAAACUACACCACAGCUCACGGCAACGCCGGAUCCUUAACCCACUGAUCAAGGCCAGGGAUCGAACCCACAACCUCAUGGUUCCUAGUCAGAUUCGUUAACCACUGCGCCACGACUGGAACUCCAUAAGUAAUUCUUAAAUAUGGAAAGAUUAGUAACCUCACUCAAAAUAAAAGAAAUACUAUUAAAAUCAUGAUCAGAUAACAUUUUUCACCUAUCAGACUAGAAAAAAGAAUGAUGAGGGUGUGGGAAAAUAGAGAACCUCAUACAUUGUUAAUGGAAGUAUAAAUUGGUAAAUCUCUACAGAGUACAAAUUGGCAAUAUCUAUUAAAAUUAAAGAUAAUCGUAUAUACCUGAUAUAUGUGUACACACAUGCUAUACAAAUAUUUAUUUACUUAGCAUACUUUCAGCUGUAAAUAACAGAAACCCAAUUCAAAUAUGACUUAAGCAGUAGAAAAAUGAAUAAUCUCAUAUAACUGUAAGUCCCAAUGUAAGGCAGUUCUAGGUAUAGUAAGAUUAGUAGCUCAGUAAUAUUGGUGAAGAUUUAGAUUCUUUCUGCCUUUCCCUCUGAUCCCUAUGGUGUUUACUGGGCCCUUAGGUUGUCUUUAAAUUUUAAUAUGCUAUUAUUAUCUAUGAUAAUCAAUAUAACCAUUCCGUAUUGUUGGAUAUAUUAUUUCCAAUUUUAAAAAACAGUAAUAACAUUGUGAUUUUACGUAAAUAUUUGCAUCUUUGUUUUCUUUGGAUAAAACGUUAGAAGUAAAACCACUGCAUAGAACCUUUCAGGAUCUCAUUAAAUACUGGAAGACAAUGGCUCAGAGCAUUUCUAUAGGCAAUGUAUAGAGUGUUCAUUGCUAAUCAAUGUACUAAUAACAGUAGAUAAUAACAAAAAUUGAGUGCAUUUGUAAAUUAAAGGAUAAUCUAUAGUUUUAAUUUACAAUUUUAUUAUUAGAAUGAGCACUUAUUAAAAAUAAAAUUAAAAAGUUACAUUUAUUAAAAAGUAACAUUUUUAUUUAUUAAAAAGUUUAUUUAAAAUGUCACAUUUUUCUAAGGGGUAUUUUUCAGAUCAGAAUUUAAAAAAGGUAGUAUUUAGCAAAAUUUUAAGUUCAAGGAUCUAGGGUUCAGGUAUGAAAUGCAGAGAGUUAGUACAUACAUUCAGGUAGCCAGAACUUAUGCCUAUAUCUUCUCACAUAAAGAUCUCAUGAAUUUAUGAUAGAAAUUGGGAAGAGGGAAGCUUCAGACAGUGGUCUUUUUUGGUGUCCUACUUCAGAGGCUGAACUGGAAAUAAGGAAAAGAGAUGUUAUUGUCCUCCUGUUUGGAGUCUUGGGGGCGUGGAUAUUGUUCAUCAUUUUCUGGGCGAGGUCCGUGGAGAUGACAAGCAUUGUAGGAGCAGUUUGCAUUGACAUCACAGUGCCUCUAUAAAGCAGAAAUGCUGACAUAGCACAAGAGGGCUUGAGAUAAAAACUGUGGUCAGUUCUGCACAAUUAGAAAAUAGGAGUUCUCUUAUGGCACAGUAGGUUAAGUAUCUGGUGUUGUCACUGUAGCAGCUUGGGUGGUUCCUGUGGCAGGGGUUUGAUCCCUGGCCUGGGAACUUCCACAUGAUGUGGGAAAAAAAAAAAAAGACAAAUAAAAAAGAAAAAUUAUAUUUUUUACAUCUGAACUAAUAGCUGAAAAACUGUACUUCUACAUUUGUAUUUGUAUCUCUCCCAUAUCACGUAUGCCCCGUCUUAGAUACUUAGUCACAAACAUCUCUGAACCUCAGCUUCUUCAUUCUAAAAAUGGAAAUACUAAUACCUAUCUAAUGUACUUUUCCCUCCUAAGUAAAUGCUCAUGCUUCCUGUCCGAGACUUUAUUGGGUAGUUUAUUUCUUCCAAGGUGAAUAGGAUAUAGGAGGCCCAAGCACACUAACCCGGGAAUGUACCUGGCUUACACAGAUAGAAGCCAAAAUCCAACCUUUGGUACAGAUUCUACCCUGAAAUGACACUGCUCUCUUUGGCCAGUACCAGAAUUCUUUAGUCAGACAUCUGGUCACGCAAAGUGAGACUGACCCUUCAUAGUCUACUCACCUCUAUCAGCAAAUGAAAGAGUUUCUGGCACUACAGUUGCAGGGCUACUCUCCCAUGAAAGUCCCAUUUGGUGCAAGUUACUUCAGUCAUAGGGAUGCAUCCUGGCCUGUGUGUAGAUGGUAAUCCAGCUAGCUUCCUAUCAGUCUUAUGCAACUUCCUUGGAAUUUUGUAUGACUCUGGAGCUGUAAGAAACUUAAAUUCACAAAUUCAUAAGACAUGGGUCCUGAUAGAUUCUAGACUUUGGGACAAAUUUACUUGCUUCCAGGGAACAUCCUCAAGUAGGAAGAAAUACUCUCAUUUGUUCGUUUUUGCUGUAAUUUCUAUCCCAUGGCACCUGGACUGGUUCAGAGCCCAAGAUGUCUGAGUUUCCUCAGUAGAAUCCUUUACUUAUGGGGCAGGCAGCCACAUAACUCAUGCAAUUUCUUGAGUUGCUGAGAAGUAUGCAGCUUUUCAGGAAGAUAUUCUUGGAGCUCAAGCCAAGCAUUUGCCUCAAUGACUGCCUGAUUGUUUCCAUUUAACAACUUGGGUUUUCUCCCACAGUCACAUCAGUGUGCUCAGUAAAUUGCUGUUUUAUGCUUCAUUUUCACUUUCAGAAUUCUAUCUCAGCAUUAUGGGGAUCUGAUGUCAUGAUGUAGGCAAACGUUCCUGUAUUGACAUGUUUUGUUUUUGGCUAGUGGAGAGGUAAUGCCAAAAUUCUGAGUUCCAUGGGAAUAGAGCCAAGAGACGCUUGGCUUCUUAGUCAGAGUUAGUGUCCGUGGGAGCGGAUCUGGGAAAGUCUUGUGGAGGAUCCAUGGCCAAAACCGCAUAAUCAGAUUUUGUUCUGAAUGGGGUCCUUCAUAAGAUGUUAGAAAAAAAGAACAUAACAUUAUAGGAAAAAAGUUUUCUUAAUAGAAUAAUCUCGGCUAGGAGAACAAAUUAAAUAUGUGAUUUAUUAGGUUAAUCUCUUUAUAUUUUUGUUUUAAAGCUUACCUUUAAGAUUAACUGAAUCAAAUUUAUCUAUUGCCUUUCUCAGGGAAUCUCUCCAAUAGAUCUCCUUAAGAUGAGAGUCUGGGAAUAUGUUUUAGAUCUCUAUAAAUUAAUUCCAGUGAAUGGUGUUUUGGCCAUAGUGCAUACAUAGGACUAAUAAAAGAAAAUUUUAUUAAAGUCAGUUUUCUAACAAAGUAAAUAUAUGUGUGUGUUUAAUAGUCACCUUUAUUAUAGAGCAAAAAUAAUAGCAUUAUAUGGUUAAAAAAAAAACCCUUCUCUUUCAGUAAUCCAAAACUGGAAUCGGAGAAAACUAAAUGUAUAUAUGUCUUUUUUUCUACUAUUAUUACACAUACAUUUUAUAUUUAUUCAUUUAUUUAUUUUAUUCUUAUUAUUUUUUUGUCUUUUUGCCAUUUCCUGGGCCGCUCCUGCGGCAUAUGGAGGUUUCCAGGCUAGGGGUCAAAUCGGAGCUGCAGCCGCCGGCCUACACCAGAGCCACAGCAACGCGGGACUGAGCCGCGUCUGCAACCUACACCACAGCUCAUGGCAACGCCAGAUCCUUAACCCACUGAGCAAGGCCAGGGAUCCAACCUGCAACUUCAUGGUUCCUAUUCAGACUCGUUAACCACUGAGCCAUGACAGGAACUCCUAUUUUUAUUUUUUUAAUCUUAUAAUGAUUUUUAUUUUGUCCAUUAUAGCUGAUUUACAGUGUUCUGUCAAUUUGCUACUGUACAGCAAGAUGACCCAGUCACCCAUACAUGUAUACAUUCUUUUUUCUCCCAUUAUUAUGUUCCAUCAUAAGUGACUAGAUAUAGUUCCCAGUGCUAUACAGCAGGAUCUCAUUGCUUAUCCAUUCCAAAGACAAUAGUUCGCAUCUAUUAACCCCAAAUUCCUAGUCCAUCCUGCUCCCUCCCCCUCCCCCUUGGCAACCACAAGUCUGUUCUCCAUGUCCAUGAUUUUCUUUUCUGUGGAAAGGUUCAUUUGUGCCGUAUAUUAGAUUCCAGAUAUAAGAGAUAUCAUAUAGUAUUUGUCUUUCUCUUUCUGGCUUACUUCACUUAGUAUGAGAGUCUCUAGUUCCAUCCAUGUUGCUGCAGAUAGCAUUAUUUUAUACUUGACAGAUAAAAUAGGCAGCAUAAAAUAAAAUCAAGGAGUUCCCAUUGUGACUCAGUGGAAAUGAAUCUGACUAGUAUCCAUUAGGACUCAAGUUUGACCCCUGGUCUCGCUCAGCAGGUUACGGGGCUGGUGUUGCCGUGAGCUAUGGUCUAGGUCACAAACGUGGCUGGGAUCCUGCCCCGCUGUGGCUGUGGCAUAGGCCAGCAGCUACAGCUCCAAUUUGAUCCCUAGCCUGG
rnacentral:lncRNA from 1 species